GAUCUCUCUUUCUCCAUUAUUUUUCUUCCCUUUUCUCUAAAAGAACUUUCCCAUGAAGUUCCUCUGUUUCCCGUGAUCUUCUUUCUCUGUGUUUUUUUCCUGAGAUUUUUGUGUUAUUUGAUUCAGCUUUGACCUUUGGAUUUUUCAGCUGUUGGGGUUUUCGAUUGGAUUUGGUUUCUGGGUUUUGAUUCCUUUGGGGGUUUUCGUUUUUUCAGAGUUUGGGUUUAAUCAUUGAGCCUCUUUAGGUAAUGUGAAUUUUAGUGAGAAACUGAGCAGAAAGCUGGUAGGUGGCCUAAAGCUUCAAUAAAAGCUAGCUUGACAGGCAGAUGAAAAAAUAGAAAACAAAGCUCUGAAAAGAAGAAAUAAUCGAACUUUGUGUAUGAAAAAUAUACUCCUUUUUCUUUGGAAGUUAUGCCGGUUGAGUUAGAUAAUUCCUCCACCACCUCCGGCGGUGAAGCCAGCGUCUCUUCCUCCGGUAACCAAAACCCACCUCCCAAAUCCACCGUCAAGAAGAAACGUAACCUCCCUGGCAUGCCAGAUCCAGAUUCGGAGGUGAUCGCUUUAUCUCCGACGACUUUACUGGCGACGAACCGGUUCGUUUGUGAAAUUUGCAAUAAAGGGUUUCAAAGGGACCAAAACCUUCAGCUUCAUAGACGAGGCCAUAAUUUGCCAUGGAAGCUUAGGCAAAGAUCGAGUAACGAAGUGAAGAAGAAAGUUUACGUUUGUCCUGAGCGGACUUGCGUUCAUCACGAUCCAUCGAGAGCUUUGGGCGAUCUUACGGGAAUUAAGAAACAUUUCUGCAGAAAACAUGGAGAGAAGAAAUGGAAGUGCGAUAAAUGUUCCAAAAAAUACGCUGUUCAAUCCGACUGGAAAGCUCACUCUAAGAUUUGUGGUACUAGAGAGUACAGAUGUGAUUGUGGAACUGUGUUUUCCAGGAAGGAUAGUUUUAUUACCCACAGAGCUUUCUGUGAUGCAUUAGCAGAGGAGAGUACUAAAGCCCCACCACUACCUGAGCCUCCCAAGAAGAAUCAGAAUCAGGCUGAUGCCGAUCCCAAAUCGAACUCCGAUCCGAAACCUCUAACGGCGGAGCCGGAGCCAGCAAAGGCACCGGUGCCUUCGGCUGCAGCUUCAGCUUCAGCCGCACCAGCUCUGCCUCAGUCAACUAGUUUGAUAUCUUCUUCAGUUUUUCCUAUCAAAAGUUCUGAGUUGUCUGAAUAUCCCAUUCCUACCGUGCAAGGAGCUUCAGUUCCAGCACCAGCACCGGCACCGGCACCAGCUAGUGUGAAUGUAAACUGUAGCAGUAGCACUGGCUCAAUCAGCAAUAGCAGCAGCAUGUUUGCCAGCUUAUUUGCACCCUCAACUAAAUCUGCUAGCUUACAACCUCAGGCUUUCACCGACUUAUUUCAAUCUAUGAGCCGACCAGAUCGUCCCGCUGACCUUGCGCCUUCUACAUCUGCCGAACCGAUUUCUCUAUGCCUCUCAACCAACCAUGGCUCAUCAAUAUUCGGAACUGCAGGGCAAGAACGCAGGCAGUACGCGCCACCACCGCAACCUGCUAUGUCCGCCACAGCACUACUGCAGAAAGCUGCUCAGAUGGGAGCAGCAGCGAGCAACACAUCAUUGCUUCGUGGUCUCGGUAUUGUUUCAUCUUCAUCUUCUGCCCAACACGAUAAUUUGCGAUGGGGUCAGAGACAAGCUGAGCCCAAGAAUGCCUCAAUUGCAGCAGGACUUGGACUUGGACUUCCUUGUGAUGAAAGUUCAGGAUUAAAGGAAUUGAUGAUGGGAACUCCUGUAUUCGGUCCUAAACAAACCACUCUUGAUUUCCUCGGGUUAGGGGUGGCCGCUGGUGGCACCCCUAAUGGUGGCCUCCCAGCUCUUAUCACCUCCAUCGGAAGUGGACUAGAUGUAUCUGAAGCAGCUGCAUCAUUCGGAGGUGCAGAUUUUACCUUCAAGGACCUCGGUAGGAGCUCAUAACUAGGGAGAAACAAUUACUAUUCCUUGAAAAACAUGCACUGUACAGAUCGUAACUUAUAAUUCUCCUAAAAAGUGCCAUUGCUGAUGUUACCAGCAAGCCAUCAAAGACCAGACCGGAUGUUUUGGGGACAUAGGCUUUCUUGCAAGGAGAUUUGGCAUUCUUUGUGUCUGGUUUAUGAAGCUUGUAAAUAUUUGUUGUUGCAGACAUUGAUGGUGGAAAAGUAGGAUAGUUUUGGGUUGAUUUUAUGAUCAGUGGGGGCUGGAUUGGAGUUCCACCUUUUUAUUUAUAUUUGCAAAUUAAUUUAA